UACGUAGGAUGCGAGCGUUAUCCGGAUUUAUUGGGUUUAAAGGGUGCGUAGGCGGAUCGUUAAGUCAGUGGUCAAAUUGAGGGGCUCAACCCCUUCCCGCCAUUGAAACUGGCGAUCUUGAGUGGAAGAGAAGUAUGCGGAAUGCGUGGUGUAGCGGUGAAAUGCAUAGAUAUCACGCAGAACCCCGAUUGCGAAGGCAGCAUGCCGGCUUCCUACUGACGCUGAAGCACGAAGGCGUGGGGAUCGAACAGG
rnacentral:rRNA from 1 species